AGGCAUUUGCUUCAGGUGAGCAGAGGGAUGACUUUCUGUCCCACAUCUGUGAAGAUCAGCUGUUGGUUUACAUUGCCAGGGUGAAAUUCAACAGAACUAAUUUAGGGUGAAGAUCUUGAGGCCCACAAGGAAUUUCCUUGUGGGAAAAUUGUGAGGAAGAGCAAUCACUGCACCCAGCCACCUCUAUAUACAUGUACACAAAGCCACACAGUUUACACAGUCACAGGUAUUUAAGUACACACUAUUCACACACAAAUACAUAUAUAGACACACAUGUACAGUCCGUCCAAAAUAUAUGUACAUAAAAGCACACUAUUACACCUUCAUAUGUGCACACACACACACACCCAGACUCACUUCAUACACACAUAGAUACAACAGCCACAGCUCCCCAUCACCUACACACACACACACACACCUGGACACCCAGCUCUAAUAUAAUCAGAUAGAGAUAUGCAUGCAGACAAAUUUGCCUGUAUAGUCAAACACAUAGGCAAAUAGAGAACGAGACACCACAUGAACAAAGGCAAACCUACACACAAAGACACAGAGCACACUUACGCAUAUAUCUAUAGACCCACCAUGGCACAUAUGGGUAAGUGCACACAGGCAAACUCACACACACGAGCAUGCACAGGCAGAGAACACAAAUGUACACUCCCAGGUGUCAUAAAGAACAGCCCAGCUUCGGCUUGGGAACGUCACAUCAGACAAUAGGAACGGCUGCACCGCGCGUUUCCUCGGCUGCCAGCUUCCCAGCCACAGAGGAUGCCUCACCUGCUAUGUCAGCUCCCCUCUGCCCCACCUCACAAGAAGCUCAGAAGCUGAGGAGUCACAGAGAGACCUCCCUACUGUGUCAGAGGUUAAUAAUCAGGGAA
rnacentral:lncRNA from 1 species